GAUAUCCUGUACAUGUAGAAAUUAUUAAAGCACAAAGUGAAAAAUAGAAAAAAAUACAGAACCAUGUUUGGGUCAGACAGUAAAGAAAUAACUAGCAGCUAAUUUAGAGAUAAUUAUUUAUGAAAUAUAUGUUUUAAUGGAAUGAAACUUCAUGUUUUAUUCCAUUUUUACUGCUGAUAGAAAAAUGACUUCUAUUUGAGAAGUUUUUUUUUUCUCGGAGUCACCAGCAGGUGGCAGCAGCGCCUCCUCUCAUGCAUCCAGUCAUGAAGUUUGGACCAGACUCGGCUUUUUCUCUCAUUAAACCGGUUCGUCUACCAGUUUUCUUCCAUUUAACGGAGUCGAAAGACGGCUAGAAGCGGGGACAGCUCGCCGGGAUAGGACGGCAGCGAGAUUGGUGUCUGAGCCGGUAUUUCAUUUUGGUUUGCGGACGUUAGAAGGGAGGAGUUAGCUGGAAGCAAACCGGCUAACAUAGCCAAUCCCAGCAGCUCCAGUAGGAUUUUACUGAAAGUAACUGAUUUUGUCCGGCUGUUGUCUGACUACUCGGCCUGUUGAUUUACUGCUGAUGUUCUGUGAUGUUUUUCAGGGUUCAUUCAACUCAGAGGAGGCGGAGAACGUCGUCAAAGAGCCCCAUCACCACCGCCGCACUGGGAGGGGAGUGCAUCUCAGUUAGAGCAUCUAUUUACAUUCACUCACCGCUUCGCUCAGCUGUCCGCGCCUCCCUUCCCUCCUCACGACGACGAGACACAAAGUAGUGGGCCGGUGUCAAGCGCUGCUUUUAAGUGCCAGUCCUGCCCGUAGCGUUGAGCCUGGCCGCCCGCAUCACAUCAUCCCUCCGCCCUCACCAGCCCCGCGGCUCGCUGCGCUGCUGGCGGCCGAGCUGUGCGCUCUCUCUCUGCGCCAGAUGAUCCCCGGAGCUACGCGGCGUGGCGCUGUGGAGCCCUCUCCUUCUCUCUCUCAGCGCAACCGGCCAAUAGGAGCCGCGAACGGAAGACGCUGGGAGCACGAAGCGGAGGGACGCAGCCGUAAUAAAUCUACCGGAGUUAGUUUGCAACUCAGGUAAUGAAAUCACACAUCAUCGGGUUGUUACAUCACGCAGCACACUGAACACAGACGGCUGCUCUUAAAGAGCCAGGCAAGAAUCAAGAUGUUUCGUGUGGAGCUGGUAAAGGCACAGAAAGAGAUCCUCGUCGCCAGUGUUGUGGUUUGUUAUAUUGAAAUGGUGGAAAUAUAAGCAUCAGACGUAGUUCAGCUUCAGUUUUCUCUUUACUCUCUCGUGUUCUCUUCUUGUUCCAAGGCUCCAACACAUUUUCGUUUUUAGAUUCCCACCCUUCUUCAGACCUAAUUUCCAAAAUUGUCAGUAAACAUUUUACAGCGUAGAAAAAAAUAUUUUCAAUUAAUUUAUAGAUGAAUUUUUUUGGAUGAUUGGACACUAUAGAAACUGUAUUGUAAAAUAAAAGGUUGUUUAUAUCAAUGUCAAAUUGUGAGGUCUAGUUUGUUCAUCCAUCGUCUUCUGGUGCCCAUCUCCUGUAGGUCAUUGGGUGAGAGGCUGGACAGGUCACUAGUCCAUCACAGGACAAACAAGCAUGUACACUCGCUCAUAGCAAAAUAAAAUUUAGAAAGACCAAUUAACUAAUUAAAAAUAAAGUCAUGUUUUUGAAUGGGUACUUUGGUGUGGGUGCCAAUUACCCAAAGAGAACACAUGCAUGCACAGAGACUAUUUAAGUUUAAUCAAAUUAGAUAUCAGACUUUCACAGAAAGUCAGAAACUCAGUUGGAAUUUUAAAAAGUUUUUUUUACUUAAAAAUUUGCAUUUCAACAGAGUAAACAUCCUCCUCAAAAUUAACACUGGCACAGCUGGUUAGCAAGUUUGGCUGAGGCGACAAUUCUGAAAUGGUUGCUUUACAACAAAAGACACAUUAACCACAGGUUAUGGGUUGAAAUAUGACACUGAUACAACACAGC